rnacentral:tRNA from 1 species
GAGGAUAUAGCUCAAGUGGUAGAGCAUGUGCUUAGCAUGCACAAGGUCCUGGGUUCAAUCCCCAGUACCUCCU